rnacentral:rRNA from 1 species
UACGAAGGGGGCUAGCGUUGUUCGGAAUUACUGGGCGUAAAGCGAGCGUAGGUUGUGUCGCAAGUCAGGGGUGAAAUCCCAGAGCUUAACUCUGGAACUGCCUUUGAAACUGCGAUGCUGGAAUGUCAGAGGGGAGUGCGGAAUUCCAAAUGUAGGGGUGAAAUCCGUAGAUAUUUGGAGGAACACCGGUGGCGAAGGCGGCACUCUGGAUGACGAUUGACACUGAGGCUCGAAAGCGUGGGGAUCAAACAGG